AUGGUUCUAUUGUUUUACAAAGAGCAAGACUUCAAAAAAUCCUUUGCUCUAUGCACCAGUGUCACUGUCCCCUUUUCUAUCAUAUGGAAUGGUCACUGGGGAGUAGCUUCACAUCAGGCACUACACCUUCAAGCCUCCUUUGUAGCCAGAUGGGGAUGUGAACCUGUCUGUGCCUGUUGGAUGUGAGUGGAAGUGAUAGGGUCACUUCUAGCCCAAGGCAGCUGAAAAGCAGGUACAUCACUCAACUCUCCAACCACCCACCAUCUGCUGAAUGAUGUGGAGGACUCAGGCCCAAGGGGAUGGGGAAGGUGAUAUAGCAGGUAGUUAGUCAGGCGUGAGUGGGGCAGUAAAGGGCUCCCCACAGCCCAGCCAACCGGGAAUGUCAGGCCACCAUCAGAUGAUGGUCCGGCAGUUAUCGCUGGCUCUCUAAAAUGAUGAUUGGUCACAGCUGAUACCAGGGAGAGGCCGUUUCCUGAUGGUCCAGCAGUUGUCACACUGAUUCUCUAA
rnacentral:lncRNA from 1 species